AUUCUUCUCCCCUCCUCACCUGGAAAAUGAAGGAAUGGGACUGUACCUGACAGCUCUGAAGGUUCCAAAGGACAGUGGGGUGGGGACUAGAGAGUUGGCCCAGUGCUUAUGAGCACUGGCUGCUCUCGCAGAGGACCUGAGUUCUGUUCCCAGCUCACAUAGCAAGGACUCGAAACUGCUUGGAACUCCAGCUCCAGAGAAUCUGACGCUAUCUCCUGGCCUCAUCAGGGAACAAAGUUCGUGCACAUUGACCUGUCGACCGUGUAGUACGGGAUCCGCUCCAGGAAGCUAAAGAUUUUGGGAUGCUUCAUGUUGCAGCUACUCUGAUGAACAGUGUUGCUUUCUGGGCCAGAUACUGUACAAGGAAGAGAAAAGGCAGCCACAUCAAAACAGUGUAAAUCAACGAGAAAACCAGAAACAACUCAAGAGAAGGCUGCAGGGGCCUGAAUUCUGUUCUCAGAACCUGCAUCAAGCCAAGAGAAUCAAAACUGUCUGUAACUCCAGCUCCCUGGGAUCCAACACCCAUUUCUGGCCUCCAUCAGCAUCACUCACAGGUGUGCACACAUACACAUCAAUAAAAAUCAAAACCAGGGAUGAAGGGGUAGGGAGGUGCAUGUGGAUCUGGGAGGAGCUGAGAGGCACUGGGUGAAUACAAUAAAAAAUUUGGUGCAUGGUGGUGCACGCCUUUAAUCCCAGCACUUGGGAG